CAUUGACAGUUGAGCUUUUGAGAGUUAUAUAUUAUAUGUAUGUACAAGGGACAUAAUUCAUAUUAUAUAUAUACAUAUAAUAUAUAAAAUAUUUUAUUAUAUAUUAUAAAUUUUUAAAUUUACUUUUAAACUGUAUAAAAAAUAUAGUUAUUUAGUAUACAAACUGUGUCACAUACCGACGAUAUUCAAGUGUGGAAAAUAUGGCGCCCGUACUACAUGUUUAUGAAAUUUUUGCGAAUAUGAGAACUCCUGACUACUGUUAUGUUGUUGUUUUUACGUGUGCUAAGCGAAUGACAGCCAAACGUCAAUAGCAUAUGUGCUGGAAAAAUGAACGAGUGAGAGGCAAAAUGUAAACUGCUGAAUAAAUGACUGCGAUGAAUGGGUAAAUUACGAAUAAGUAAACAAAACGAAGUGGCAGUUGACAUAUGUUAGUCGCGAGUGUUGCCACUCUUUGCAGUAGAUGCAAUAUUUUGUUGAGGAUUUUUAAUCCAAUUGGCAUGAAUUGGUUUUAACAAAUUGAAAUAAACUUAUAAGAAAAUAGGCUGAUUGGAAAACAUACGGAAAUAGAAGAAUAAAUAAAAGUUGGAAUAAAAAAUUAAAUAAAUGUAAUUAUGUUGGAGAAAACAACGAAAAAUUGUUUAAUAUAAAAAUAGUAACGGCAGCGAUAAAAGAUUUUGAAGACUCAUACAAGCUUAAAUAAAAAUUUUGUUUUUCUUAUAUUUUUUAGAGGUUAUAAUAAAUGAAUAUUUACAAAGGUAAUAAAUUUCCUACCUAGCUCUAAUAGCUAUUAUACAUAUAUUAGCGGAGUAAAGGUAGUAUCGAGACAGUACAUAUAUACAUAUGUAUAUACAAUUAAGGGGAUUCACCGAUCAACUUUUAACAUUGCUCAGUUGUUAAUCUCUUGAUUUCUAAGCCUACUCUAGAAUGUUUUGAGUUUAAACUUGUCUUUAAAAACACUCAUUAAUUCAUUAUUUAAACAACAUUCUGCAAUGCAAAACUCACCAUUUUCAUCAUUCUGCUCAUCGGUGUUUGAUAGUUUACGAUCGAUGGGGCUCGAUUUGCCCGAUAUGCUGGCGUUGGAGCCCUUCUCAUCGAUGCCAGUCGCACUGCCACUGACCGAAUCAUUCUUGGCCGCAUUCUUAUCCGGCACCAGCAACUGUUGGCCCG